GACGUAGGGCGCGAGCGUUGUCCGGAUUUAUUGGGCGUAAAGAGCUCGUAGGCGGCUUGUCGCGUCGACCGUGAAACCUCACAGCUCAACUGUGAGCCUGCGGUCGAUACGGGCAGGCUAGAGUUCGGUAGGGGAGACUGGAAUUCCUGGUGUAGCGGUGAAAUGCGCAGAUAUCAGGAGGAACACCGAUGGCGAAGGCAGGUCUCUGGGCCGCAACUGACGCUGAGGAGCGAAAGCAUGGGGAGCGAACAGG
rnacentral:rRNA from 1 species